CAUGCAAUUAAUUCAAAGAGUCAUAUUCAUUCUAAGAAUUCAGAAAAAUAUCAUCCAAAUAUAAAUUAUCCAAAUAUUAAACAACCAUCAUCCGUAAUCCACAAUUAAAACAAUUAUGCAUAUGAAAAUAUAGGUGCAUAAUACAACCAUCCACCAUUGUUGGAACAAAAACAAGCUUAAAGAUCCAAUUUCGGGUUUACAAAAAUUGAGUGAAAUGGAUUUGUUUGAGCCAAGAAAAUCGAUCCUAGAGAUGAAUGAAGCUAAUAGAUGAUGUAGAUUGGAUCAAAAAUAGGCUAAAGGAAGCUUGAAAAUAUAGAGAGAGAAACGGGUAGUUAGGUUUUUUUUUAUUUUGGGUUUUAUGUGGAGAGAUGAUGAAAUCAAGUUUUGAGAGUGAAAAUUGAAAGAGUAAUGGAUGAAUAAUGAGUUGGAUGAUUGAUUUUAACAAGAAAAUGAGUGAAAC
rnacentral:lncRNA from 1 species